UACGUAGGGGGCUAGCGUUGUCCGGAUUUAUUGGGCGUAAAGAGCGUGUAGGCGGCCAGGUAGGUCUGGUGUGAAAACUCGAGGCUUAACCUCGAGAUGUCAUCGGAAACCAUUUGGCUAGAGUCCGGAAGAGGAGAGUGGAAUUCCUGGUGUAGCGGUGAAAUGCGCAGAUAUCAGGAAGAACACCAAUGGCGAAAGCAGCUCUCUGGGCUGACACUGACGCUCAUGCACGAAAGCGUGGGGAGCAAACAGG
rnacentral:rRNA from 1 species